AGAGUUUGAUCAUGGCUCAGGAUGAGCGCUGGCGGCGUGCCUAAAACAUGCAAGUCGAGCGGCAGCAUGCUUCUCACUUUGGUCCUAAAAUUUUUUUGGGAUUGAUGUGAGAAGUGAUGGCGAGCGGCGGACGGCUGAGUAACGCGUGGGAAUCUGCCCCGAAGUGAGGGAUAACUGCUCGAAAGAGUGGCUAAUACCGCAUGUGGUCUUCGGAUUAAAGCUUUAUGUGCUUCGGGAGGAGCCCGCGUAAGAUUAGUUAGUUGGUGAGGUAAUGGCUCACCAAGACGAUGAUCUUUAACUGGGUUUGAGAGGAUGAUCAGCCAGACUGGAACUGAGAAACGGUCCAGACUCCUACGGGAGGCAGCAGUUAGGAAUAUUCCACAAUGGGCGAAAGCCUGAUGGAGCAACGCCGCGUGGAGGAUGAAGGCCUUAGGGUCGUAAACUUCUUUUCUCUGUGAAGAAUAUGACGGUAACAGAGGAAUAAGGGUCUGCUAACUACGUGCCAGCAGCCGCGGUCAUACGUAGGACCCAAGCGUUACUCGGAUUUAUUGGGCGUAAAGAGUUGCGUAGGUGGUUUGUUAAGCGAAUAGUGAAAUCUUGUGGCUCAACCAUAAGGCUAUUAUUCGAACUGGCAAACUCGAGAGUGGAAGAGGUAUCUGGAAUUUCUAAUGUAGGGGUAAUAUCCGUAGAUAUUAGAAGGAACACCAAUGGCGUAGGCAGGAUACUGGCCCAUUUCUGACACUAAGGCACGAAAGCGUGGGGAGCGAACCGGAUUAGAUACCCUAGUAGUCC
rnacentral:rRNA from 1 species